UGUGUUUACAUUUGUUUUGUGCGCGCGAGGACAAGUCAAUAGAAAGACGUUUUGAACCACUGUUUUGCGACACCGUCUUUUAUACUAUGCCAUUCAAUUCCGACUGCAAGCUAGCAAAUCGUUAUUUCGUCCAAGCACUGAAACAAAACGUAGAGUAAGUAACAACGCACAUGCGCAAGAACACAACGCUCAGAAAGGAAGACAAUUCUCCAGCGGUGUUUAGAAAGUGUUUCUCCCUUGAUUGCCAAGGUAUUUUUCCUUUCCCAAGCCUACUUUAGUCAUUAGUGUCAGAGCCCAAAGGUUCAACACAUUUCUUUCCAUUCUGGAUAUGCCACUGUAGGAUUCCAAAAAAUCUUUAGUGCUCUGAGGCCCAAUCCAGCCAUGGAAACACUCCACAAAACCACCUGUCAGGCCUGCUCCUGUUCAAACACCUGCUGCAGGAAUCACAGUCUACCAUCAGGGUUGAGCAUGUGUCAGUCUCCCAUCAGUCUCCCAACUUAAGAUCUACAGUGGAGCUUACAAGAAUCAGAGAUCUGGGAACCACUGAAUCAGUCCACUCGAUGCUCAGUGUCAUGUUGACUCAGACCUCCCAAAAAUCCCGGACAUCUUGGCUCAAGCUCUUAACACAACUUGACAUUUACUGUAUGCCAUUA